GAGAAUAUUGUAGGAGAUCUUCUAGAAAGAUGCAGACGGGUGCGGAACACGUGGGAACAUACCCUUUGGUUUGGGAUAACUCAGGGAAACUUGAGCUAAUACCGGAUAAGCCCUUGGGGGGAAAGAUUUAUCGCCGAAGGAUUGGCCCGCGUCCGAUUAGCUAGUUGGUGAGGUAAUGGCUCACCAAGGCGACGAUCGGUAGCUGGUCUGAGAGGAUGAUCAGCCACAUUGGGACUGAGACACGGCCCAAACUCCUACGGGAGGCAGCAGUGGGGAAUAUUGGACAAUGGGCGCAAGCCUGAUCCAGCCAUGCCGCGUGAGUGAUGACGGCCUUAGGGUUGUAAAGCUCUUUCGCCAGGGACGAUAAUGACGGUACCUGGAUAAGAAGCCCCGGCUAACUUCGUGCCAGCAGCCGCGGUAAUACGAAGGGGGCUAGCGUUGUUCGGAAUUACUGGGCGUAAAGCGCGUGUAGGCGGGUCUUUAAGUCAGGGGUGAAAUGCCAAGGCUCAACCUUGGAACUGCCCUUGAUACUGGAGAUCUUGAGUCCGGGAGAGGUGAGUGGAACUGCGAGUGUAGAGGUGAAAUUCGUAGAUAUUCGCAAGAACACCAGUGGCGAAGGCGGCUCACUGGCCCGGAACUGACGCUGAGACGCGAAAGCGUGGGGAGCAAACAGGAUUAGAUACCCUGGUAGUCCACGCUGUAAACGAUGGAUGCUAGCCGUUGGGGAGCCUAGCUCUUCGGUGUCGCCGCUAACGCUUUAAGCACACCGCCUGGGGAGUACGGCCGCAAGGUUAAA
rnacentral:rRNA from 1 species